UACGGCCACAUUUCGUUGAUACACCGGUUCCCGUACAAUCACCGAAGAUAAGCAACGUCGAGCCUGUUCAGUACCUAGAUGGUUGACUGCCUGGAAAAAAUCAGGUGCUGUAA